GGGGUCAUAGCUCAGUGGUAGAGUGCUUGCCUAGUGUGCAUGAGGUACUGGGUUCAAUUCUCAGCACCG
rnacentral:tRNA from 1 species